GACAUACAAGUUCCACAGAUUUCCUACCUGCCGGCUGUGGAAGGGGAACACUGGGCCUGAUAGUGCCACAGAGGCUGCUGUGACCCCCGACCCUUAAACUUCUGCCAUGUACAUGUAUUCCUCAUCUUGCAGGAACCUUAAGGUUAAAGGAUAAGCUGAGAGAGAAGACAGACGAUGUGAUGUUGAUGAGAACUUGUGGCCAAAUGCAGCAGAGAGGGAGGAACCCCCCCCCCCCCCCCCGCCCCCCAAGUACUAAACAGUGUGAGUGAUUAUACUAUAGCCUACACACAUAUUACAUAUUAUUGCAGCCCUGGAAUUUCAGCAAUUAGAUUUUUUUGUUUCAACUUUGAUAUUUUUCCACAAGUAAAUGACCCUAUGCACAGAUAUAAAAACUGUAAUAAUCAUCUGUGCUAUUUU